rnacentral:lncRNA from 1 species
ACAGCUCCGGUUGCGGGGAGGCCCGGGUGGGUACCCGGCGCUCCGGCUCCCAGUCUCCUGGGCUUCUCCAGUCCUUCAGCGCCGUUCUCCGGUCACAGGGAAUGAAAGCGAGGAAGAAGGAAACGGUGUCGAGAAUUGCGAAGAGAGAAAGCAUAGAAAACCCACAUUAGAGGCACUCCCAGAGCAGAAACCCUUCGGAGCAUCCCGACUUCCUCGGCCCGCGUGCAAUCCAGGCAAAAUUGAGGUUGUCUCUGAGCCGCCCUCCCUAAGCAGGUCGGAAAGCCCCCGAAUCAUCCCAGGUCCCGCCGCGCUGCACUCGCAACCUGGGGUGGAGGUCCCUCUAGUGGUUGGCACCAAACAAAAGUUCUGUCUUAUGAAGAGCCGAGGUCAGGAAGCAUUUCCCUGUGCCCAGCGCCAAGGUCUGGGACCUUAGGUCCAAGAAAAGCGUUGGCAAUGUCUGACCACAGGAAUGGGUUCUCGAACUGGGGAGGACUGAAGCUGGAGAUCUGGUCCAGCCCCUACCUCCAGCGUGUGGCCUGAACCCGUUUUGGUUGUACUGCUAUGUUGUGGCCCUGCCCAGGCCUCCAAGGACUGGCUGCUGUUAAGCUGUUUAAAAUCCCUGUAGGCCUCAGAUGGCAGCGACACCAGGGACUCGGCAUAGUCCCCAGCUCUGGCAGGAGUCACCACAGCCCUAGCCUUUAGUUCUCUACAGGCUGGAGUGUCGACAAACUCCACAGGACACAACUUUUUCAAACCAAAUUUACCCUCGCGGUCUGAAAUGACCAGUAGGCCCAGGAGAAUUUUACAUGUGAACAGAACCUAACCCACCCUGGCAAAUAUGAGACGUGUGGUCACUGCGGGAACCUGGCCAGCAGCAGACCAAAGCACAGCCAGCAGGGGAAGGCUGGGGCCCGCAAGAGUUGUGUUACAACAGGACACCCUUCAGUUCUCUUUCACUUCCUUAAAAUAGCAGCAGAGCGACUUUUGUAGACGCAGGCUGCCACAGUUCACACAAGGUCAUGGCUGUUUCCGAAUCCCACCCUUUAUUGCCCUAGCGGAGCCACUCCCCUUACCUCCGCCCCCAGAAACUGCUAGCCUGUUCUUAAAUUGAUACAGUUACCUUUUUAAAUGUUCUAAGUCACCGGCUCUGGAGCUUCUUUGCACUUUGGAACCAACUUGCGGGAAGGAACUUUAAAAAUACUGAUAUCUCGAUCCAUCCCCAGAGGUUCUGAUUUAAUGGUCUUGGGGAUAUGGCCACGGCAUGAGGACUGUUAAAACUCCGCAGGUGAUUCUUAUGUGCAACAAAGUUUAAGAACCACUGAUGUAGGCCAUGUCGAUGUCAGUCUUCACUUAAAUCCAACAAGACCCCAGAGCUAAAACGUUCACCUGAAAGAAACCCCAUUCCCAGGCCUGCAUACUGACCUGCGCUGGCUCACAAGAAGCAAAGUGGUCCCUUAACAGGGGCUUCCUGGAGAAAAUGUCUUGACCUAAAAGAGUGAUUCGAGCUGCAGGGAUUUAAGAGAGACAGGGCCUUGCUCUGUCACCCAGGCUGAAAUGCAGUGUUGCAAUCUUGGCUCGCUGUAGCCUCAAGCUCUUGGACUCAGGCGAUUCUCCUAUCUCAGCUUCCUAAGUAGCUGGGACUACAGGGCUCAGUGUGGUCAAAAGAAGACUAUAGAAUCAAGGAUGAAGAGAAGGAACACAGAAUAAAAGGACGUCUCAGCAGGAAGCUCUGUGACUACUAUGUCAAAUGAUGCCAUACAGUGAAGCACCUUGAAAGAUUGCUGGGAUAAGCUGACAGCAUGGCAGCCAAAAUAGUGACCCCAGGCUUGCAGGAAUUCUGUGCUUUCUGGAGGAAAUGGUCAUGGGUUUCCCAACCUGCCUUUUAAACUAAGAGUUGGAAUCCAACCAGCAGCAAUGUCAGAUUUGUUGUUGUCGGUCAUGAGGUACAUGCUAGUCCCUUGCAAGGAACAGUUUCAGGCACAGCUGGAUCCAGAGGUUCAGACAGUGUCAUCAGGACUCAUUAUCACCUUCUCUACUUCUCAAGUAUGCUUUCUUUUGUUUCACUCCAUCCCGGAGUGCACUCUAUUAUUUUGAUGGUGAGAUAGCAGCCAACAACCCCACAUUUGCAUCCUCACAGCUUCAAGUCCAGUGGAAAGAUGUGACUUUUCCGGAUAGUUCCAACAAAAUUCCUGGGCCUAAAUUGGGUCACACACUCACCCCGAACCAAUCCCUGAAUGUGAUGAUUGGGCUUAAGCCUGGGGAGAUGCAAAGACAUUCCUGGAGCUGAGGAUGUGGAUGCCUCUACCCAAACCACAUGGUUAGAGGGGGAAGAGGGUACAACAAUACACACUAAUUUCUUGCUGAUGAGUUUGUGGUUGGCUGCAGCUCUGCCAGACAGGUAGAAAUCUACUUCUGCGUCUUCUUGUUCCAGGACCGAGCUGAAGAAGCCCCCGUCUUCCAGCGCAUGUUAUUCCCAUGACAGAUGCUAAAAGUUCAAGGGGAGAGCUACAAGAAGUGCGUUUUCCUGUGGCUACUUUCAUGUCUGGAUGCAAUGCCUAGACCUGCAUCCAUCUUGCGACCAACCUGAAGAUGAACAGAAAGGAAGGAAGGAUGGCCCAAUAGCCUGGGAAGAACUGGUGUUCCUGAUACCAUCAUUAACCACAGAAUCUACAAUCCCGGAACCCCCCAUCCUUAACCAUGGAAUCUACAAUCCUAUCUCUAGACCCUUUGUCCAGAUGCUACAGUUUCUUUGUUCAAUCUAGUUUGUGUCAGGAUUUCUGUUCAUUACAUCAAAAGUAUUCUAAUACUUGUAGCAAAGCAACUGGAGAAGUUUUCACUUUGUCUUUAACCAAAGAAGACUUCCAGGAAACAUCUCCUCAGUGGGUUUCUCCCUCACCACUGGAUUUUUAUCUCUGUACUAGUGCUUUGAUUUGUUUUAGGAGUCUCACCUCUCCACCUGUCAUAUUUCCCUGGCAGGCUCAUUUCUGCUAAUGCCCACAAUAUGUGUAUCAAUGAGCUUUCAACGUUAGGUACACAGCUCUUCAGGCAUGUAUAGCACAUUAAUCUGUCUGCUUCUAAGUGGUCUGUUGACAUGUUUGGGUGCCAGUUAUAUCUACAAGGCUGUGAUCAUUGUCCUGGGUUAUUCUGUUUGUUCUCUCUGCAGGAUGCAUUAGGACACCCAAGGCCAUGGCCAUCACUUACAUCUAGGAUUCAAUCUUAUCUCCUGUGAAUCACUGGAAACCUCCUGUCCUGGAACCCUUUUUUUCCACAUCCCACUGGAUGUCAUUCAUAGCAACUGGUCUUGUGGGUUGUCUAUUUUAUUGUGUUGUCUUACUCUUCCUCCUGGUAUCAGUUUUUAAAUCCUCUUGAUGAGAUCAGCUGAUCAGUCGCUAAGCAACAUAGUCCCCCAUGUCUUUGUAAGAUUCUCUGCACUCAUGGCUAGAAUGAUUUAUUCUGGUAUCUUAAGCUGUGUUUCAGAACCUCAUUCUAAAUAUCAACCUAUUCUUGUAAGUCCACUACUGAUCAUCUUUAGAUAUUCUUCAGUCUUCCAGAGUUCCAAAGGGCAGUAGGAAGAAGCAAUGAAAAUACCACCUGUAUUCUCACAUCUUUCAUUGUUCCACUCAAAAAAUACCACCAUGUUCACUUCUGGUGGAACGUUUAUGUCCAUGAGAAGCAGUGGCUUUGAAGAGUUUUGGCAGACUAUGGCGCCUUACUCAACAUUGGGAAGGUAUCUUGCCAUCAGACCUUUUGGGUCUCCAUGAAACUUCUUAUACCCCCUCUGGGAAAAGUCACUAACUGUGAUCUUACUGAGCUUCUAAACACAGCAUUUUUUUUACACUUAAGUGAGCGGGGGUCCUCCUCAUUUGUGCUUCUCUUCUUGUAAGGGUGACUUCCUCCCAGUAGGAUGAAUCUCAUGCCUAUUUGUGUUAUUUUGCUAAUUCCAGCUUCUUUUCUACUCAGGGGGGUUCCAACUCUUUUAAGGUCUCAUCUUCAGCACUUCUAAACUGUGGGAAACUAUGUGAAAACAAAUGGAGUGGCCAAACACACCAUUCAUCACUGUGCUUCUGGACAGCUGCAAGUCCAUACGUGUUCUGAUGAAGUCUGGCUCUGUUGCCCAGGCUGGAGUGCAAUGGCACAGUCUCGGCUCACUGCAACCUCUGCCUCCUGGGUUCAUGCAAUUCUCCUGCCUCAGCUUCCCAAGUAGCUGGGAUUACAGACAUGCACCACCAUGCCCAGCUAAUUUUUGUAUUUUUAGUACAAACAGGGUUUCACUAUGUUAGUCGGGCUGAUCUUGAACUCCUGACCUCAAGUGAUCCACUCCCCGCAGCCUCCCAAAGUGCUGGGAUUACAGGCGUGAGCCACUGCGCCCGGCCUUUCAGCUGAUUUUCUAAUCAAGAAGUUAUAUCAGUCUUUGUCUGCAGUUGCUCAAAGACUCUCUUUUAAAGUGCAGAGACUAUCCACCUCAGCUAUAGCACAGGGCUCAGCACUGUAUUUCCAGUUAUGGAAUACAGUUAUUUCAUAUAUGUUAUAUUAUUCUUAAUUCUGUCCCUAGUUCCUGCUACUGAGGAAGUCCAUACUCAGCAGGACAGUCUCCUGGUCUGCCAUGAAUUCAAACACAAUCUGUAAAGACAGUGAAGGAAGCUACAUCUGUGCAUGGGGGCUUUAGAGAAUUAUUGGCUUGAAGCAAUAAGAGGAACAUCUGGGCUGAGUAGUCCUCGAAGACUCUCAUGUGAUUCAAAAGUCCUUUUCUUCCUUAUUAUUUCCUAUCUUGCUCUCAAGCAUCUCCUCUGGCAGCAGCAACUGGAACUAAAAGUGAUUUCUCUAUAACAGCGAGCAAGUUUCUCAUGGCCUUUGCUAUUAACUCUUUCAUGCCUGCUGACCUGCAAAAGAAUCAGGAGGGCUGGUGCUGGAGCAGAUGGCGCACUGUGAGUGAUGGUUUAGAUUCUGCCUGGACUCAAACCAUUUGGUUGAUGGCGGGAACCUUGAUUUUCCCCCUUCUUAUCCUGAGAGUGUAGGGUUUCUCUGAAUUAUUAUUUCUUUCUUUGCAAGGAUCCCUGGAUCCUCAUUCCUGAUAUAAGACUAGUUCUAGGUAAGUGCACAUUCAUGUGAUAUAUUGGUUCCAUACUAGGCAAUGGAAGUGCCACAUUAUCUGUAAGGAGCAGGAGAAGAGCCAUUAGCCCCAGUCCUGGGAACGAACUUUCUGUAACUUUAAGAAACAUAAAACUUUAAAUGCAACUGAAAGAUUAUAUUCUGUCACCUCCAACUACUCACCCAUAAAUACAAUAGGCACCACGGAGGCUAGGAUAAAGUGCAAAUUUAAGAUUAUAAGUGUGCUUAUAAUAAAUAUUGACAACAUCAUGCCUUCAAUGUUAUCAAUGUUGAUGUCACCCUGCAGGCCCAAGGUAGAGAGGUAGAACUGCUCCGCUGGCUGCCCUGCCAUACUUUGGGGUCAUGUGAUACGAUCUUCCAUAGCCACGGGGCCUUGGUUGUCAACUCAUUCCUGAACUUUGUGUGCCAAAGUGAGUCCAGCUUCCACACCCUUCACCUCCACCACCAGGCUGAUCCAGACUGCCAGGCUACGAUCCUCCAAGCAGGAUCCUACCUUGAUCUUAAAAACUUCCUAUGAAGAGCUCUACCAUCAUGUUUUCUAAAACCAGAAGCCCACCCUAAUCCCUGCCUGGCUUUUGGUUCCUUCAUUAGAGGCAAUCACUGCCAUAGAGAGCCCCACUCACUAUCCCUCCAUAGACGCCUUAGAACUAGGUUGGGAGCACGAGAUGCUCAGCCUUUAUAUUUUGUUAUCUUGAACCACAUGGGAGUCUUUGAGGACUACCCAGCCCAGACAUUUCUCUUAUUACUGCAAGCCGAUAAUUCUCUAAAGCACCUAAGCACAGACGUAGCUUCCUUCACUGUCUUUACAGAUUGUGUUUGAAUUCAUGGCACAGCAGAAGACUGUCCUGCUGUGUAUGGAGUUCCUCAGUAGCAGGAACUAGGGACAGAAUUGAGAAUAGCACUAACACCAGAAAUACAGUGCUGAGCCCUGUGCUGUAGCUGAGGUGGAUGGUCUCUGACUCUGUGGGCCUCUCUGCAGCCAGUCCAAUUCCUGUCUUUCUCUUGUGAAUAAAUGUUGCUGGCUCCAACUCAGCCUUAUUUUUUGAUGUGAUUCUGACUCCAGUCAUUAAGGGGGAUGUCUUAG